UACAGCGGAGAGUCGUCGGUACUGCCUUCAAAAGCUGUGUGAUUAUAGAUUAAUAUAUCGUUCAUCGCGCGCUAUAUAAGUCAGUGUCUUAAUCCGUGUCAAGAAGCGUUUUAUCGGAUCGAUCUUUCACUAUGCUGAAUAUCGUUUACAUUUACCAAUGGAAUUUCUAUGCUGUUAAUUUUAUCGAUAAUUGUUAGUAUAAAACGCUUAUUGUUACCCGGUAAUGUUUAUAUGAAACCUUCUACGGUAGGCGCUAAUAUACGUUUCGAGCGGCUAUUUUUGGAGCUACUUUCCUCAACAAUCAUAAAACUUCCUGACGAGGGAGAUGAAAAUGUAUGAACGCUUGAGAGAAUUUAGGAACAUCAAUUUAUUUUAUUCGGAUUAAUGACGGGAUAUAACGAGUAUUAAAAAUGAUAUUCUGAACAUUUCACUGUCAUUCUCAGGAUGGUUUUUAUUAAGUUAGUUUAAAUGUUAUCGAAAAUUCACGAAACAGCGUUGUGUCUUGGCGUGCGGAAUUCAAUCGCCAAGAUAAACAUAGCAAACAUGUACAUUAAUACGAAUUGAUUGUACCAAGCAUCAUACCGUAUUGAAUAUUGUAUCAUAUAGCGACGUAUAUUCUUUCUUUAACGACCUAAAUACGCUUUAUAAAUUGUUAUGUAGUCUAUCAUUUACAUAACAUGUUAAACGCUUCGAACAUUUUUCCUUUUCUCUUUUUUUUCUUUUUGGUUCAUAUAAUACACACACACAUGAUUCUUUAGGAUAAUAUUAUACUAAUUAUAUCAAUUUAUUUUUAAGCGCGCAUUAUUUAUUUUUAUCCUGUAUUAAACAUUUUAUCAUGCGGAAGGUAGAAAGUAAGAAGUGUGUUCAAUUUUAAGGGAGACAAUUCGUUGAUAUCGCUCUAAAAUUUCCGCGCGUACGAGUAUAAUUGAACCUUAUAUUUUUGUAACUUUUCUUUUUCACCACGUUAUGCGCGCUUACAUUACGAUGUAAAGGCUCCGUACUGCAGAUUGAUAUAGUAACAUGUAAAUGAAAAUCUGAUUUGAUAUAGAGAGCGCUCCACCGUGGAAAAAUAAAACUAAAAGCAUUGUUGUGCCAGCUUGUUUCUUACGUCUUUAAUAGACUCAGAUUAUUGUGAAUGAAUUUUUAACCAAUAAAAAUACGUAGAUCUCAAGCUAACUGUAUCUUCACUACAUGCUGUAAAGCGAAUGUAUAUAUGUAUAUACGUACACAUUGCUUGCGUUAUCACGAAGUUUAUCCUUGUUGAUUUCUCAUUUAUCUUUGUUUCCUGGCACACGAUGACGAAGCUGUCGCCAUGCUAUGUUUUUGUUUUUAUCGCGUUUCGUUACUAGCGUAAGAAUCAUUACGGAUUUUAAUAAUAGUAAGUAUCGUAAUAAUCGAUAUUUUUUUCUCUUGUGUUACCGACCGUGUUAUCGACGGAUAUCAAAUCAGAUACGUUCAUUAUUGUUGCAAAGUGCACGCGCAGAGGGCGACUGCGGUCCUUCACUCCCGAUUCAUUCGAUUGAAAGCUUGCAAACAAGCGGUGGUUUAUCUCCGACAUAAUUUGUUGAAGUAACGAAUGUGUUUGUUGAGCGUUAUAAAACAGAUUAAAUCGGCGUCGAUCCAGCCGGAAUCGCAGUCGCUCGCGGAAUGAAUGCGGAAGUCGUAAAUUCCGCCGCUUCGAUACACAUCUCGCCAGCGAUUCGAAUCGCUGUUUGAAGAGGCGCCGGCAAAAUGGCGUAAGUAAGAGUAACGUACGUUUGGGAAGCUGGAGCGUCUCACAGCGGGGAAGUAAAAUGACGUUCCGAUUCUAGGAAUUCGAAUGAAUAUUGCUUUAACUGUUACUGGCGGGCUGUGAGUAUAAUGUAACGCGUGCAAAGUCGCUAUAACUUGGGUAGUGACUCUUGCGAGACUAAAAAAGAAUGAAAGAAUCGUCGCUUUUGUCACUGAACGUUGUGCACAAGGUCCGCACGAAUCGUGCCUUUUCUGGGUACCCGAAACUGCCUCUGUCAUGUCUGAAUUAACACACGUAUCUACACAGCGGUUUGUCGAGUAUCUUCGCGCGGAAAGGACAUCGGAAAAAUUAUCAGAGCUUGUUUUAUAUGCGGGCCGGGUGUCUCGCGAUAAUGCUCGAAUUCCCACGUUGAAAAUUGCGGAUGAAUCCGGAGCAAAAGUGGAGACACACGAGAGACAGUGAGAACACGCGGGGCGCGACUUUGUUGUGUACGUCGGCGAGAAUAUGGGCUCGACCGGAUUCGCGACGGCUAACUGGAACAGGAAGUUAAUCUCGACGAGCACGGCGAAUUAGCAUAUAAAUUCGCCGAAAUGGUCUCUACGUAUCCAGCAAAGAAGCGCGGCCGUGCAUCAAAAUGGUCGAUCGCGCCAGCCGGUAGCCGAUGUCUAAUACAUCGAAGAAUCCUCUUCUCGGGCUGAUCGUGACCCAUCGACUCGAUGUUGAUUCACCGCGUCCUGAGCUGAAAGCUCUUUUGGCUGGUCGACGGGAAAACGAGGGAAAAAAGGAGAGAAAAGAUUAGCGGUGAAGUCGAACUGGAUAUAGCGCCGCAAUUACGCGAAUUCUCUUAUUCGACGCGAGAUUAAAUUUGCGUGGCAUAGAUAACUUAUAUUUGAAACCAACAUAUCUCGACACCAUUACAAUUAUUGAGCAAUGGUUCACGUCUGAUACAUUAUUAUUAUCGUACAUUUUCUUAGAUGUACAAAACUUUGAAGAAUUCUUAUAAAAAGUAUGAGAGAGAGACAAAUCGUGGACUUUCAUUUUAACAUUUUAACGGUAGUAUAUAACACAUUUUUUAUGCGACUGACAAUUUUCACUAGUCGUCGAUUAUUUUUAAAACGAUUACUAUAUUUUACGAUAACGUGUGUAACGAUAAUUUAUCAUAUUUCCUGACCUUUAGAUUGCGAUCUUCGGUAUACAUAAAGUAUUUGUUAAACGUCGGGCUCCUUGCGUGUUAGGUAGUAUCGGAAUGAAGUUACCGCGGAAUCGCGUUCAUAUCAUAUUCUAGAACUUAAAUAUUUAGAAAAAAGGUUCUAAAUUCUCACGUUAAUUUUACUUUUGCAUGAAUAUUGACAAAUUCGUAACGUGAACGCUAUGCAGUAAAUCAACUAUCUUACUUGAAUAUUAAAGUAAAU